CUACGUGCCAGCAGCCGCGGUAAUACGUAGGUCCCGAGCGUUGUCCGGAUUUAUUGGGCGUAAAGCGCGUCUAGGUGGUUAUAUAAGUCUGAUGUGAAAAUGCAGGGCUCAACUCUGUAUUGCGUUGGAAACUGUAUAACUAGAGUACUGGAGAGGUAAGCGGAACUACAAGUGUAGAGGUGAAAUUCGUAGAUAUUUGUAGGAAUGCCGAUGGGGAAGCCAGCUUACUGGACAGAUACUGACGCUGAAGCGCGAAAGCGUGGGUAGCAAACAGGAUUAGAUACCCUGGUAGUCCACGCUGUAAACGAUGAUUACUAGGUGUUGGGGGUCGAACCUCAGCGCCCAAGCAAACGCGAUAAGUAAUCCGCCUGGGGAGUACGUACGCAAGUAUGAAACUCAAAGGAAUUGACGGGGACCCGCACAAGCGGUGGAGCAUGUGGUUUAAUUCGACGCAACGCGAGGAACCUUACCAGCGUUUGACAUC
rnacentral:rRNA from 1 species